GGUGGGUGUGUAUGCAUAGGCACUUAAUCGGUUUCGUCCGACCUGCUCGGUGACCUAAACAAGUUAUUGGCAGUCUAGCUUUACAAAUGAGUAUAGAAACUGAGCUGGAACCGAGUGAAAAAUAUUGUAGCUUCGUAUCGGAAGAACGUUGGGGAUUAUUCAUGGGUUUUUAAGUCGAAAAUGUCGUACGUAGGUCUAAUAGCAGAAGCAUGACCUCCUGGAUUUUGGUUUCCCAUUCGUGAGGUAAAGGUUGAUCGAAUGCUCUCGAUGUAACAGUCAGGUCGGCCAAGAUGGUUACGGGGUCGAAGGGACGUUUAAACGGACCCAACUUAUUUCAAGUUUCUAUAGGUUUUCCGGACAGCUGUCAAAAAGAGACAAGACUCCUCUCAGGAUAAACACCGACCGUUCCCCAAGGCUAAGAAAAAAUACCACCCAGCGGAGAGGAGAGGAACCUUAAACGGUAGGU